rnacentral:rRNA from 1 species
AAGCUCGUAGUUGAAUUUCGGGGUUUUACCGUUGGUCGGGCUAACAAGUCUGUACUAGCGUGUAGAAUCUCUACCUUCUGGGGAACCAUCAUGUUAUUAAUUUAGCGUGGUGGGAAACCAGGACCUUUACCUUGAAAAAAUUAGAGUGUUCAAAGCAGGCUUACGUCUGAAUACAUUAGCAUGGAAUAAUAAAAUAGGACGGUGGUCCUGUUUUGUUGGUUUCUGAAUCACCGUAAUGAUUAAUAGGGAUAGUUGGG